UUGUGCGUUGUUAUUCUAGGUUUAGUUACCUGUUUGCACUAGUCAUAUAGCUUCACGGUUUGUUCAGGAUUCUCUCUUUAUUAAAAGAGUUAUGUACGCUUAUCACGCUGCGCCUUGGUUUCCUCAUUAUUACAACCGUGACAAUACAAUUGAACAAAGCUGAAUAAAAUAUAAAUAUUUUCUCCCAAAAUAUUUGAGGCAGUGUGCACAUGCGGCCAUUCUGUGUUGAGCAGUUAAUAAAGAAAUAGAUACUCGUAUUGUCACGCCUGCUCCCGCUUUCCCCCGCGCCAGGCAUCAGUGAUUAUUGGAUUCACCUGGACUCCAUCACUUCUGUCAUUACCUUCCCUCUAUAUGUCUGGUUCCCCGCUCUGUUUCCUGCUUCAGCAUUGAUUGUCGUAUGUCCUUGUUUACCCGCCUAAUGGUCUUCACAUCUGACUCAUUACGAAAAAAAAAAAAUCUUCAUCCAGUUUGAGAUGAAUGAGUUCAUGCGCAUAUCUACUGCACCUCUGCUAUCUACAUUAUUUGUUGAGCUCAACCGGGUACUCUCCACACAUGGUGGAGAUCUUUCGAUGCAAAGGUUUGGAAGAAAAAGGAUACAUCUCAUGGUGGCCAUGUCCAAGGAUGACACAAUACAUACAAGACGGGCAUGCGUCCUCAAGUCCUUGUGCAUCUACCUAAACGAAGACCAUGAGAAACUUGUGAAGGAAUAUAUGACCUCAAGUCCAACGCUUCCAUGGAGCAAACUGUGAUGUCAUACAGAAGGAGGGAGCGGAGCCUGGAGAUGACCCAGAGGACAUCGGUGUCCUGAUUGAAGAAUAUUCUUCUAAAUCUGGAUGGGCAGAGGUUGUCGUCCAAGGCGCGGAUCCUAAAAAACAAGCUUCUGGAGUGACUAAGCUUGAAGAAGACUGACGCCUGGAAUUUGUAAUGCAUAUUUUUUUUGUGUUUAACUUUGGAAGUUGAAAAUUAGAAGUCAUACAAUUUUUCAAAAUAACUAUUUAAUUUAGUUUGCUCAAUGGACUGAGACUAAGAUGGUCUCAUAGGUUGAAAGUCUCCUACAUUUGUGUGUUGGUGGAGCAGACACAGAGCAGUGUUGUUGAACACAUGUUCAUUAAAUAGAAUAAAUACGUUAUUAAUGGUUAUAGCCUCCUUAAAAUGUAGCACUUGUAUUUAAAAAAAACAUUUUUUUUAACCAAAAUGGCAAAAAGAUUGUGCAAGCAACAUUGCAGUCAUUUUUCACUACUUCUGAUUUAUUUGUACAUUAUUUGCAAUGCGCAUGUGUAGAAUGUAAUAAUUCAGUGUUUAAAACAGUGUUAAAAUUCAUUUUGUUGCAGUCAUGCACAUCUUGCUGGAUUAUUUGUUAACUUUGUUUUUAUUACGGGCCACAUAUUUUGUAUGUUCCAAUGUUUAUUUUAUUACAUUUUUAUAAAUGUGUUUAAUUGUUGCACUUAGACUUGCUAAACUUGAAAUGACAGAAGUCAUGCACAAAUCCUUUUCUUAAUGAGCCUCGGUUUUUUUGUUGGCAAAAAUAUUCUACAUGCAUUUGUUGAAAAAACUGUUGAAUGUUAACCUUAAAGGACAGAAGUGCACACAUUUUGCAAGACUGUUUAGUGUAUGAUUUGGAAGUGAAUACAGCAUUCUCAAAUGCAUAAUGUGGUUAAUAUUUGACACAAACAAAAUAAGUCUUGGCGAAAAUUGGUUUAUUUGGUGCUUUUCAUUGAGUGCUGGAAGGAAUUAAGUCUCUUACUGUUUUAGUCAGUAAUUAAGUUAAAAAGGACAAUAUAACAUUUUGGCGAUGUGUGAAAGAGCUAAUGAUGGUAACGAUCUGGUGUAAUGUUAGGUUCACAGGAGGCCAGCGGUUUUCCAUUUGCGUAAUCCUUCAACUGUGCUAAACUGUUCUGAUGAAAGAAGCAAUAAAACUGGCCUUCGUUAGACUAG